rnacentral:rRNA from 1 species
CUCCCUGAAUUUAAGCAUAUUAUUAAGGGAAGGAAAGAAAUAACUAUGAUACCCGCAGUAAUGGCGAAUGAAGUGGGUAAAGCUCAAGCUUAAAAUCUAGUCUCUUUUGAGAUUCGAAUUGUAGUGUAAAUUAACAUUAAUAUGGUCAUGAUAAUUGCCUAAGUGUGAACAUCUGAAUUUCCUAUCAAAGACGGUGAUAAUCCGGUAUGGUAGUUUGAUUGGCUAAAUAUUCUUGUUAUUUAAAGAGUCGAGUUGUUUGGGAUUGCAACUCUAAUAAAGGUGAUAGGUCUCAUCCAAGGCUAAAGUACGUGGGAGACGCCGAUAGCGAACAAGUACGGCGACGGAAAGGUGAAAAGAACCUCGAAAAGGGGGGUCAAAAAGCGCUCGAAAAUCGUAGAGGGGG